rnacentral:rRNA from 1 species
GCAUGGUUGUCGUCAGCUCGUGUCGUGAGAUGUUGGUUAAGUCCCGCAACGAGCGCAACCCCUAUUGUUAGUUGCCAUCAUUCAGUUGGGCACUCUAGCGAGACUGCCGGUAAUAACCGGAGGAAGUGGGAUGACGUCAAUCAUCAUGCCCUUAUGACCUGGGCUACACACGUGCUACAAUGGUUGGUACAACGAGUUGCGAGUCGGUGACGGCGAGCUAAUCUCUUAAAGCCAAUCUCAGUUCGGAUUGUAGGCUGCAACUCGCCUACAUGAAGUCGGAAUCGCUAGUAAUCGCGGAUCAGCACGCCGCGGUGAAUACGUUCCCGGGCCUU